rnacentral:rRNA from 1 species
AACGAACGCUGGCGGCAUGCCUAACACAUGCAAGUCGAACGAGACCUUCGGGUCUAGUGGCGCACGGGUGCGUAACGCGUGGGAACCUGCCCUUAGGUUCGGAAUAACUCCCCGAAAGGGGUGCUAAUACCGGAUAAUGUCUUCGGACCAAAGCUUUAUCGCCUUUGGAUGGGCCCGCGUUGGAUUAGCUAGUUGGUAGGGUAAAAGCCAACCAAGGCGACAAUCCAUAGCUGGUCUGAGAGGAUGAUCAGCCACACUGGGACUGGGACACGGCCCAGACUCCUACGGGAGGCAGCAAUGGGGAAUAUUGGACAAUGGGCGAAAGCCUGAUCCAGCAAUGCCGCGUGAGUGAUGAAGGCCUUGGGGUUGUAAAGCUCUUUUACCCGGGAUGAUAAUGACGGUACCGGGAGAAUAAGCUCCGGCUAACUCCGUG